rnacentral:rRNA from 1 species
GACAGAGGGGGCAAGCGUUGCUCGGAAUUACUGGGCGUAAAGGGCGCGUAGGCGGGAUGGCAAGUCGGUCGUGAAAUCCUUCGGCCCAACCGAAGAACGUCGAUCGAUACUGCUGUUCUAGAGGAUUGCAGAGGAGACUGGAAUUCCCGGUGUAGCGGUGAAAUGUGUAGAGAUCGGGAGGAACACCGGUGGCGAAGGCGGCUCUCUGGACCACUACUGACGCUGAGGCGCGAAAGCUAGGGGAGCAAACAGG